rnacentral:rRNA from 1 species
UACGUAGGGGGCAAGCGUUGUCCGGAUUUAUUGGGCGUAAAGCGCGCGCAGGCGGUCCUUUAAGUCUGAUGUGAAAGCCCACGGCUCAACCGUGGAGGGUCAUUGGAAACUGGGGGACUUGAGUACAGAAGAGGAGAGUGGAAUUCCACGUGUAGCGGUGAAAUGCGUAGAGAUGUGGAGGAACACCAGUGGCGAAGGCGACUCUUUGGUCUGUAACUGACGCUGAGGCGCGAAAGCGUGGGGAGCAAACAGG